rnacentral:rRNA from 1 species
CCUACGGGUGGCAGCAGUGGGGGAUAUUGCACAAUGGGGGAAACCCUGAUGCAGCGACGCCGCGUGUGGGAAGACGGUCCUCUGGAUUGUAAACCACUGUCCCCAGGGACGAAGAUGACGGUACCUGGGGAGGAAGCUCCGGCAAACUACGUGCCAGCAGCCGCGGUAAUACGUAGGGAGAGAGCGUUGUUCGGAAUUACUGGGUGAAAAGGGAGCGUAGGCGGGACUGCAAGUUGGGGGUAAAAUCUACCGGCCCAACCGGUAGCCGCACUCAAAACUGCAGUUCUUGAGUGAAGUAGAGGCAGGCGGAAUUCCUAGUGUAGCGGUGAAAUGCGUAGAUAUUAGGAGGAACACCAGUGGCGAAGGCGGCCUGCUGGGCUUUUACUGACGCUGAGGCUCGAAAGUGUGGGGAGCAAACAGGAUUAGAUACCCCUGUAGUC